CCCUACGGGGGGCAGCAGUGAGGAAUAUUGGUCAAUGGCCGAGAGGCUGAACCAGCCAAGUCGCGUGAGGGAUGACGGCCCUACGGGUUGUAAACCUCUUUUGCCGGGGAGCAAAGAGCGGGACGCGUCCCGCCUCGAGAGUACCCGGAGAAAAAGCAUCGGCUAACUCCGUGCCAGCAGCCGCGGUAAUACGGAGGAUGCGAGCGUUAUCCGGAUUUAUUGGGUUUAAAGGGUGCGUAGGCGGGCUUUUAAGUCAGCGGUAAAAAUUCGGGGCUCAACCCCGUCCGGCCGUUGAAACUGGGGGC
rnacentral:rRNA from 1 species